UUCGGUAGGUGAACCUGCGGAAGGAUCAUUGCACACACGAGUUGCAGCAAACCACGCGGCGAACCAACACGUUGUCCCCCCCCUUCCGGUGGCCUCGGCCGCGGCGGCUAAACCCCGUCGCGUCCGUCGUCGCCGCGUCGGAAUUUUGCUACCGAAUCACUUCGACCAAAUGACUUAGUCCCAUUUUGGACCCCUUAACUUCUAGUUAGGGGGCGAGAUGAACAUAAAGUUGUGAACACAACUCUCAGCAACGGAUAUCUUGGCUCCUGCAACGAUGAAGAACGCAGCGAAAUGCGAUACCUAGUGUGAAUUGCAGAAUUCCGCGAAUCAUUGAGUCUUUGAACGCAAGUUGCGCCCGAGGCUCGACCGAGGGCAUUUCCGUUAGAGCGUCACCGCGCGCCCCCACCGAGCUCCCCAACCAAGGGAGGAGGAGUUCGAGUGCAAUUGGCCGUCCCGAGUUUGUUGCCCUUUGUUGUGGAAUCGGAAUCGGGUCGGCCGAAGUACCUUGGCAGACUCCGUGGCGACACGGCCCACGAUCGGGUGAUCCGAGCCCUUCUAAAGGGGCUCGGAAUUUUUCUAAGUGUGCGGCCGCGCCGCCCCGUGUGUCCCGAAGGAGAGUGUUACAUUGAAGUGAGCAGUGGAACCAGAGUGUUACCAGAGUUACGCACCAGACCUCUAAUCGGGAAA
rnacentral:rRNA from 1 species